rnacentral:rRNA from 1 species
CACGUAGGGCGCAAGCGUUGUCCGGAAUUAUUGGGCGUAAAGAGCUCGUAGGCGGUCUGUUGCGUCGGCUGUGAAAACCCGGGGCUCAACUCCGGGCCUGCAGCCGAUACGGGCAGACUAGAGUUCGGCAGGGGAGACUGGAAUUCCUGGUGUAGCGGUGAAAUGCGCAGAUGUCAGGAGGAACACCGGUGGCGAAGGCGGGUCUCUGGGCCGAUACUGACGCUGAGGAGCGAAAGCGUGGGGAGCGAACAGG